UUGAAGUUACUGUGGAGUUACCGUUAUUACUAUACCUUCCUACCAAUUCGAUUUACAAUUACUAUUCCUACCGUUCAGAAUUGAAUACAGUUUGAUGGUUGAAUAAACCGUGGACUAGAAACUGCCUCCGCCUUGUAUAUGAAAACAUUAUAAUAUAUAAUAUCACGGCCAAAAGCUGUGUGCACCUCCGGAAUAUUAUGCACAGAAUUGCAACCCUUUGGUUGCGACAGUUUUUAAGCACUCUCUACAAAUUACGUGAUUUUGUAAUUCGCGGACUCCAUAGCUGUGUUCGAAAUCGUUCCCUAUCACGGAUAUAGUGCACUAUAUAGGGUGCUCGCCAUUUUGUAGUGGUGUUCAAAUUCUCAGUGGUUAAAUUCAUGCACAAUAUAGUGCACUUAAAAUACCCAAUGAAUAGUGAACGAUUUCGAACACGGCUCAUGUUUCGCGAUUUCAAAAAGUGACGUGAGUCAGUGGAGGGGGGGGGGGGGGGGGCGGGGGGGGGGCAGGCAGAGACUGUGUGUGUGAGCCGGAGGCAGAGCGGGAGAGACAUAAGCAGAGUUACGAAAUAGCAGGCGGCAGGCGCGGUUCGAAACUGGUGUUAUUUGGAACAAAUGUGCUGUAAUUUCAACGCAAAUUAAAUUAUAUCGAUGUUGACGAUAUGGUCUCGUUUCAUA